GUUAAGCCCAAUAUCUCCAAUACUACCUUCUUUAAAGGAAGGGUUCCGCCGCCCCUAAACGCAACACAUGAAUAAUUAGGGUUUCAGGAGAAAGAAAUGAGAAGCUCAAAAUUUCUCUAAGAAAAAGAGCACUAGCUAAUUUGAUUUUGUUGAUUGUUUUUAAAUUAUGCAUGAUCAAUCAAUUUUACGCUUGCAUUCUUUCUUCUUACGGGCAUCGGUGAUGAGUUGAUAAAAAAAUUGUUAUCCUUGCACUUUGAUUCGCUGUGAAGAAAAUCAUGGGGAUUUAUCGCUCUGAGAUGCUUUUAAUGUAUAUUCUUAUUAUCUUUUUUUUUUCCGAAAGUUAUUGGUUAUCUUCUUCAACUGUAGAAAUCAAGGUGUGCUUGCUCGUUUAGUUCUUUUGUUUUUUUUUUAAUCCGUUUUGUGGAUCAAUGAUGUUACUGAUAUUCUGCGUUAUCUAUCUGCAAAUUGUUUGAAUUGAAGAUAACUGUAACAUGCUGAGAUCCUUCACAUUUAUGUGUUUUCUUAAUGCUCUUUUUAAUUUAAUUUUUCUCUUAUAUUAGAAGAGGAAAAUCAUUUUAUUUUAGUCCCUGUUUGGAUUGCUUAUUGAGGAUGAAACAAAAUUUUUUGAAUAAUUUCUUGCUGCUACAAAACUGAAGAUUGUUUCUUUCUGGGGGAGUGUGUGUGUGUGUGUACUUUCCGUUCUGCCUGCAUUAUUGCUUUUUGGAUUUCUUAUUGUUUAAACAUUUCAUUGGCUCAUGUACACUGUUGUUGGAUCAAUGAUGUUAGUUAGAAACUGCGUUAUCUUCCUGCAACUUCUUAUUGGAAUUGAAGAUUGUCUGUAUAAUUAAUCUGAGAUCCUAUCAGCUUAAAUCGGCCCUGUUAGAAUCACAGGUGCUUGUACUGUUGUAAUGGGGGUUGCUUGUGCUUGUUAUGCAUUUUUAUGAGAUUUUUUUUUGUAAGAUGAGCAUUUUCACUUUGAAUACUUAAGCAUAUUUAACAGAUAGGUAGCUUUUGUUACCAAUCUGAGGAAGUGCUAUGGAGAGUUUGAUAUGAUUAUGUGCUUGAAUCCUACUUUCAAAUUGCAUUUACUUGUAAUUUGAAAUUUAUUGAUGAAAAUUCCUGUAGAAAGAAAAAACUACACUGCUGUUUGCAAUUUGAAUAAAAUUUGAGCAAAAUGAUGUCAAUGGCUGUAGUUGGGAAGGCAAGCAAGAUCAAAGUGAUCAUGUAGCUAGUGGGAUGUGAUUAGACUGGAAUUGAAUGGAUAAUCAACUGUCCAGCAUACAAUAUUGGUUGGUCGACUGGUUCGCAAGUUUUGUAACUACUAUUACUGGCUUUUGGCCCAAGUUAAUCUUACUAUCCAUUUAUUUGGUGUCACCUUUCUUCAUAGGCCAUUUUGUGGAUUAUGAAUUUGGAUUAUUAAUUUCAAAUGGUUUGCUUGAAGAUGUUGUGCCUCGUUUAAUCUCAGAUCCAGUCAUCGAGAAACUAAUUAAAAUUGCUACAUAACUGUUUUCUGGAAGAUGGGUGAAUGAAGUAGGAUUAUAGCCCUGUUUAUUUUUUCAAAUGAUCUACUUUUUAAGAAGCAAGAAGUAAAUUUUUCAAGAAGUAAUUUAAUUGGAUUAGAGUAUUACUUACUGGGAUUAUAGCCGAAGUUGUCUGGAAUAUGAAAUUUCUUUGCUAAAUUACCUUCAAUCAGAAGACCACGCAGCCGUUUCUCAUAGAAAUUUUUUACGUCGUGGACGAAUAAAGUACACAAAUGCACCCUAGAUUUCCUGCCACUCAUUCCAAAACGAGCUGCCCCCUUCUCCAAUCAACCCCUAUAGUCAAAAAAUCCACGGAGGAAAAUCUUCAAGCUCACCCCAUGUAUAGCAAGAUAAAUAUUCAAGUCCUUUCCAAAAUCCACCAUAGAACUUUGUUCGUCUUGUUUAGCACGCACUUGAAACUUAAUUCUACAAAAUGGGAAUGGUUCUUGGAAGGAUCACCGUGGAAACCCCAGAGUAUGAAGUGAUUCAGUCCACCAGUGAAUAUGAAAUCCGCAAAUAUGCACCGUUAGUUCUUGCAGAAUUCACGUAUGAUCCAUCCCUAUUCAAAGGCGACAAAGAUGGCGGAUUCAUGGUGCUAGCUAAUUACAUAGGAGCCGUAGGCAAUCCACAAAACACCAAGCCUGAAAAGAUAGCCAUGACAGCUCCAGUUAUAACCAAAAGUGGUGGUGAAAAGAUUGCCAUGACAGCUCCUGUAGUGACAAAGGAGGGUGCUGGAGGGGAGAAGAUGGUUACUAUGCAGUUUUUGUUGCCCGCCAAGUAUAAGAAGGCAGAGGAGGCACCGAAGCCAACAGAUGAGAGGGUGGUGAUACGGGAAGAGAGGGAGAAGAAGUAUGGGGUGGUGAAAUUUGGAGGUGUGGCUACAGACAAGGUGGUGGAGGAGAAGGUGGAGAAGUUGAAAAAGAGCUUAGAGAGAGAUGGGGCUAAGGUGAACGGGGACUUCGUGUUGGCAAGGUAUAACCCACCUUGGACUUUGCCUCCUUUCAGAACUAAUGAAGUGAUGAUCCCAAUUGAGUGAGUAAGAAGCUGUGUUUUUCUAGUAUCUAAUAAAGGCAGUCGUCUUCUUCUUCU
rnacentral:misc_RNA from 1 species